GAGCGGCGGACGGGUGAGUAAUGCCUAGGAAAUUGCCCUGAUGUGGGGGAUAACCAUUGGAAACGAUGGCUAAUACCGCAUAAUGCCUACGGGCCAAAGAGGGGGACCUUCGGGCCUCUCGCGUCAGGAUAUGCCUAGGUGGGAUUAGCUAGUUGGUGAGGUAAUGGCUCACCAAGGCGACGAUCCCUAGCUGGUCUGAGAGGAUGAUCAGCCACACUGGAACUGAGACACGGUCCAGACUCCUACGGGAGGCAGCAGUGGGGAAUAUUGCACAAUGGGCGCAAGCCUGAUGCAGCCAUGCCGCGUGUGUGAAGAAGGCCUUCGGGUUGUAAAGCACUUUCAGUCGUGAGGAAGGUAGUGUAGUUAAUAGCUGCAUUAUUUGACGUUAGCGACAGAAGAAGCACCGGCUAACUCCGUGCCAGCAGCCGCGGUAAUACGGAGGGUGCGAGCGUUAAUCGGAAUUACUGGGCGUAAAGCGCAUGCAGGUGGUUUGUUAAGUCAGAUGUGAAAGCCCGGGGCUCAACCUCGGAAUAGCAUUUGAAACUGGCAGACUAGAGUACUGUAGAGGGGGGUAGAAUUUCAGGUGUAGCGGUGAAAUGCGUAGAGAUCUGAAGGAAUACCGGUGGCGAAGGCGGCCCCCUGGACAGAUACUGACACUCAGAUGCGAAAGCGUGGGGAGCAAACAGGAUUAGAUACCCUGGUAGUCCACGCCGUAAACGAUGUCUACUUGGAGGUUGUGGCCUUGAGCCGUGGCUUUCGGAGCUAACGCGUUAAGUAGACCGCCUGGGGAGUACGGUCGCAAGAUUAAAACUCAAAUGAAUUGACGGGGGCCCGCACAAGCGGUGGAGCAUGUGGUUUAAUUCGAUGCAACGCGAAGAACCUUACCUACUCUUGACAUCCAGAGAACUUUUCAGAGAUGGAUUGGUGCCUUCGGGAACUCUGAGACAGGUGCUGCAUGGCUGUCGUCAGCUCGUGUUGUGAAAUGUUGGGUUAAGUCCCGCAACGAGCGCAACCCUUAUCCUUGUUUGCCAGCGAGUAAUGUCGGGAACUCCAGGGAGACUGCCGGUGAUAAACCGGAGGAAGGUGGGGACGACGUCAAGUCAUCAUGGCCCUUACGAGUAGGGCUACACACGUGCUACAAUGGCGCAUACAGAGGGCAGCAAGCUAGCGAUAGUGAGCGAAUCCCAAAAAGUGCGUCGUAGUCCGGAUUGGAGUCUGCAACUCGACUCCAUGAAGUCGGAAUCGCUAGUAAUCGUGGAUCAGAAUGCCACGGUGAAUACGUUCCCGGGCCUUGUACACACCGCCCGUCACACCAUGGGAGUGGG
rnacentral:rRNA from 1 species